AGGAUGGUCCCCAAAACAACAUUCAGGAGGGUGCGAGUACCCCCUUCAUAGCUGAGGGCUCUUGAUUACCUGGCUCUAGCCCGCAGACUCUUGCACCAGUUCCCAGCACUCAGAGGGGACAGGCCAGCGAUCCCCUGAUUUCCCGGCCCCAGAAGCCCCUCGAGCCGAGGCCCAGAAGCUCAGCCCUCGGCCUCAACCCGCUGGCGAGGGGCGCCAGGACCCCGAUCGGCGCACGGAGCCCACAGGUGGCGCCGCAACUUCGCGGUUGCGCUGCGCCUUCUCAGCAGGGCCUAGCGCGCUGCCCAGCCUGGCUACCGUGGGGUGCGCCCUGUCCCCAGUGGCUGCUCACCCAGAAGACGAAAUUGAAGACGAAGAGCAGGAUUUCAACAUAGACCAAAGACCAGCAUCUCUUCAGGAAUCCUCUAGGACUCCAGCACUAGAUGGUACUGCUGAGACACCCAGUCUUGGGGACUGAACAACUGCCAGAUUCUUGGCCUUCCCACUGGAAUACUGCUAUUGUUGGAAUACCAGGCUACAGCCGUCAAAGAUCUGAUCUGUCCGUGGUUAAAGAUGUGAGCUCGCCAUGUCUUCCACUUGUUGCUAUGCCUUCCUGCGAUGAUGGACUCGCAUCCCUCUGGAACGAUUUUAUUUCUAACAGAUGUUUCCAGAGCGGUCUAACCUGGGCAGGAGUGAGCACUUUCCAGCAAGUGGCUGAGUACUAAAAGGUGGCCCAGUCUAAAGAAAAAGCAGUGUUGGCUGCCUGCCUGCCUUCCCUGGGUCUGGAGCCAGUGUGUCCAUCUGCUGCCACUGUCUUCUUUUGACGUCAGACUGAAGUUUCUUCAGCCUUCUCUAACAAGAACGAAACACCAGUGACUCUUCAGGAAUUUUCCAGGCCUUCAGCACCAGACUGAGACUGCUGAAGCGAUCAGCUUUUUGGACUAAACAGCCUGUUUAGUGUUGUGUAAGUCAAUCUAAUAAAUCCUCCUUUAUAACACA
rnacentral:lncRNA from 1 species